rnacentral:rRNA from 1 species
UACAGAGGGUGCAAACGUUGCUCGGAAUCAUUGGGCGUAAAGCGCACGUAGGCGGUCCAGCAAGUCGGGUGUGAAAGCCCAGGGCUCAACCCCUGGAAGUGCAUUCGAAACUGCUGGACUUGAGUACCGGAGAGGGUGGCGGAAUUCCCGGUGUAGAGGUGAAAUUCGUAGAUAUCGGGAGGAACACCAGUGGCGAAGGCGGCCACCUCGGACGGAUACUGACGCUGAGGUGCGAAAGCGUGGGGAG